rnacentral:lncRNA from 1 species
CAGAUAACUCCACACCUGAUAACUCCACACCAGACAAUAGUACCCCUGAUGAUGCUGAUAACUCUUCUUCGCCACCAUCACCACCAUCACAAUCACCGCCAUCACAAUCACCGCCAUCACAAUCACCACCAUCACAAUCACCACCAGUAGAACCACCACCACAGUCACCGCCACCAUCACCGCCUUCACAGCCCCCGCCCUCCCCUUCACCAUCCCCACCAUCUCCUUCACAAUCACCGCCAACUCCUUCACAGUCACCACCACCUUCACCGCCUUCACAAUCACCACCAUCACCUUCACAAUCAACACAACCUUCUCCUCCCCCACAUACACCAAACAACCCAUCCCCUCCAUCACCCAAUGGAGGCUCACAGCCACCACCUCCGGUAGCGGG